AUGAACGCUAGCGACAGGCCUAACACAUGCAAGUCAGGGGCAGCACAAGGAGCAAUCUGAGGUGGCGACCGGCGCACGGGUGAGUAACACGUAUGCAACCUGCCUGUAAGCGGGGAAUAACCCGUUGAAAGACGGACUAAUACCGCAUAAUACUAAAUUACUGCAUGGUAAUUUAUUUAAACAUUUAUGGCUUACAGAUGGGCAUGCGCAUGAUUAGCUAGUUGGAGAGGUAACGGCUCCCCAAGGCAACGAUCAUUAGGGGUUCUGAGAGGAAGGUCCCCCACACUGGUACUGAGACACGGACCAGACUCCUACGGGAGGCAGCAGUGAGGAAUAUUGGUCAAUGGACGAGAGUCUGAACCAGCCAAGUCGCGUGCAGGAAGAAUGUCCUUAAUGGAUUGUAAACUGCUUUUGCAGGGGGAAUAAAGUGCAUCACGUGUGAUGUUUUGUAUGUACUCUGCGAAUAAGGAUCGGCUAACUCCGUGCCAGCAGCUGC
rnacentral:rRNA from 1 species